GGUCGCGUAGCUCAGUUGGAUAGAGCAUCUGCCUUCUAAGCAGACGGUCGCAGGUUCGAAUCCUGCCGCGAUCA
rnacentral:tRNA from 2 species